ACCCCACACUAAUAAGCCGACAGUUUUAAUAUGCAUUUGUUAAGAUUGUGUGCUCGUUGUGGGAACAGCAAAGUCAGCAUAUUGUGUAUGGCUGUAUUAAUUAUUUUUAUACCGUCAAAGAAUAUUGAUGCUGGACA
rnacentral:snoRNA from 1 species